GGGUCAUAGCUCAGUCCUGGAGCACCUGCUUUACCUGCAGAAGGUCCCAGGUUCAAUCCCUGGCAUCUCCA